rnacentral:rRNA from 1 species
UACGUAGGGUGCGAGCGUUAAUCGGAAUUACUGGGCGUAAAGCGUGCGCAGGCGGUUUUGUAAGACAGGUGUGAAAUCCCCGGGCUUAACCUGGGAAUUGCACUUGUGACUGUGCGGCUGGAGUGCGGCAGAGGGGGAUGGAAUUCCGCGUGUAGCAGUGAAAUGCGUAGAUAUGCGGAGGAACACCGAUGGCGAAGGCAGUCCCCUGGGCCUGCACUGACGCUCAUGCACGAAAGCGUGGGGAGCAAACAGG